AUGCUCAUUUCGGCAGCACAUAUACUAAAAUUGGAACGAUACAUAGAAGAUUAGCAUGGCCCCUGUGCAAGGAUGACAAGCUAAUUCAUGAAGCGUUCCAUAUUUUU
ensembl:snRNA U6 U6 spliceosomal RNA